AGUGAACGCUGGCGGCGUGCUUAACACAUGCAAGUCGAACGAGAACGGAUUAUAGCUUGCUAUAAUUGUCAGCUAAGUGGCGCACGGGUGAGUAAUGUAUAGGUAAUAUGCCUCUUACUAAGGGAUAACAAAUGGAAACGUUUGCUAAUACCUUAUACUCCUUAUUAACAGAAGUUAAUAAGGGAAAGAUUUAUUGGUAAGAGAUUAGCCUGUAUUGUAUCAGUUAGUUGGUGGGGUAAUGGCUUACCAAGACUAUGACACAUAACUGGUUUGGGAGGAUAAUCAGUCACACUGGAACUGAGACACGGUCCAGCCUCCUACGGGAGGCAGCAGUGGGGAAUAUUGCACAAUGGACGAAAGUCUGAUGCAGCAACGCCGCGUGGAGGAUGACACAUUUCGGUGCGUAAACUCCUUUUAUAUGAGAAGAUAAUGACGGUAUUAUAUGAAUAAGCACCGGCUAACUCCGUGCCAGCAGCCGCCGUAA
rnacentral:rRNA from 1 species